rnacentral:rRNA from 1 species
CACGUAGGGCGCAAGCGUUGUCCGGAAUUAUUGGGCGUAAAGAGCUCGUAGGCGGUCUGCUAAGCGUGCGGUGAAAGCCUGGGGCUCAACCCCAGGUCUGCCGUGCGAACUGGUGGACUAGAGCACUGUAGAGGCAGGUGGAAUUCCGGGUGUAGCGGUGGAAUGCGUAGAGAUCCGGAAGAACACCGGUGGCGAAGGCGGCCUGCUGGGCAGUUGCUGACGCUGAGGCGCGACAGCGUGGGGAGCAAACAGG